AUAUCCCUGCUGUGUUCGUGUUUAACCGUUAAGUUUUUGCCAACACAAAAACAAUGGGAGCCUGGCUUCAUAUGUGAAUUGUAUGCCUUCGUUACAGGACACAUUGAACAUAUGGGAGGGCACCCCCCUGCUGAGCAGGACAAAACUGCGGUGGUUCACGACUCGGUGGGGCUUAU
rnacentral:other from 1 species